GACGAACGCUGGCGGCGUGCUUAACACAUGCAAGUCGAACGAUGAAGCUGGAGCUUGCUCCAGUGGAUUAGUGGCGACCGGGUGAGUAACACGUGCGCAAUCUGCCCUUGACUCUGGGUUAACUGCGGGAAACUGUAGCUAAUACCGGAUACGUACACCUGGGGAACCCCAGGGUGUGGUAAGAAGUCCGGUCAAGGAUGAGCUCGCGGCCUAUCAGCGAGUUGGUGAGGUAAUGGCUCACCAAGGCGACGACGGGUAGCCGGCCUGAGAGGGUGACCGGCCACACUGGAACUGAGACACGGUCCAGACUCCUACGGGAGGCAGCAGUGGGGAAUAUUGCACAAUGGGCGAAAGCCUGAUGCAGCAACGCCGCGUGAGGGAUGAAGGCCUUCGGGUUGUAAACCUCUUUGAGCAGGGAAGAAGCGAAAGUGACGGUACCUGCAGAAAAAGCACCGGCUAACUACGUGCCAGCAGCCGCCGUAA
rnacentral:rRNA from 1 species